rnacentral:rRNA from 1 species
UACGUAGGGUGCAAGCGUUGUCCGGAAUUAUUGGGCGUAAAGAGCUCGUAGGCGGUUUGUCGCGUCGAAUGUGAAAACCCGGGGCUCAACCCCGGGCCUGCAUUCGAUACGGGCAGACUAGAGUUCGGUAGGGGAGUCUGGAAUUCCUGGUGUAGCGGUGAAAAGCGCAGAUAUCAGGAGGAACACCGGUGGCGAAGGCGGGACUCUGGGCCGAUACUGACGCUGAGGAGCGAAAGCGUGGGGAGCGAACAGG